GGGUUGUGAGGUUAAGCGACUAAGCGUACACGGUGGAUGCCCUGGCAGUCAGAGGCGAUGAAGGACGUGCUAAUCUGCGAAAAGCGUCGGUAAGGUGAUAUGAACCGUUAUAACCGGCGAUGUCCGAAUGGGGAAACCCAGUGCAAUUCGUUGCACUAUCGUUAACUGAAUACAUAGGUUAACGAGGCGAACCGGGGGAACUGAAACAUCUAAGUACCCCGAGGAAAAGAAAUCAACCGAGAUUCCCCCAGUAGCGGCGAGCGAACGGGGAGCAGCCCAGAGUCUGAAUCAGCUUGUGUGUUAGUGGAACGGUCUGGAAAGUCCGACGGUACAGGGUGAUAGUCCCGUACACCAAAAUGCACAGGCUGUGAACUCGAAGAGUAGGGCGGGACACGUGGUAUCCUGUCUGAAUAUGGGGGACCAUCCUCCAAGGCUAAAUACUCCUGACUGACCGAUAGUGAACCAGUACCGUGAGGGAAAGGCGAAAAGAACCCCGGCGAGGGAGUGAAAAAGAACCUGAAACCGUGUACGUACAAGCAGUGGGAGCACCUUCGGGUGUGACUGCGUACCUUUUGUAUAAUGGGUCAGCGACUUAUAUUCUGUAGCAAGGUUAACCGUAUAGGGGAGCCGCAGGGAAACCGAGUCUUAACUGGGCGUUAAGUUGCAGGGUAUAGACCCGAAACCCGGUGAUCUAGCCAUGGGCAGGUUGAAGGUUGGGUAACACUAACUGGAGGACCGAACCGACUAAUGUUGAAAAAUUAGCGGAUGACUUGUGGCUGGGGGUGAAAGGCCAAUCAAACCGGGAGAUAGCUGGUUCUCCCCGAAAGCUAUUUAGGUAGCGCCUCGUGAAUUCAUCUUCGGGGUAGAGCACUGUUUCGGCUAGGGGGUCAUCCCGACUUACCAACCCGAUGCAAACUACGAAUACCGAAGAAUGUUAUCACGGGAGACACACGGCGGGUGCUAACGUCCGUCGUGAAGAGGGAAACAACCCAGACCGCCAGCUAAGGUCCCAAAGUCAUGGUUAAGUGGGAAACGAUGUGGGAAGGCACAGACAGCCAGGAUGUUGGCUUAGAAGCAGCCAUCAUUUAAAGAAAGCGUAAUAGCUCACUGGUCGAGUCGGCCUGCGCGGAAGAUGUAACGGGGCUAAACCAUGCACCGAAGCUGCGGCAGCGACACUAUGUGUUGUUGGGUAGGGGAGCGUUCUGUAAGCCUGCGAAGGUGACCUGUGAGGGUUGCUGGAGGUAUCAGAAGUGCGAAUGCUGACAUAAGUAACGAUAAAGCGGGUGAAAAGCCCGCUCGCCGGAAGACCAAGGGUUCCUGUCCAACGUUAAUCGGGGCAGGGUGAGUCGACCCCUAAGGCGAGGCCGAAAGGCGUAGUCGAUGGGAAACAGGUUAAUAUUCCUGUACUUGGUGUUACUGCGAAGGGGGACGGAGAAGGCUAUGUUAGCCGGGCGACGGUUGUCCCGGUUUAAGCAUGUAGGCUGAUUGUCCAGGCAAAUCCGGAUAAUCAAGGCUGAGGUGUGAUGACGAGGCACUACGGUGCUGAAGUAACAAAUGCCCUGCUUCCAGGAAAAGCCUCUAAGCAUCAGGUAACAUCAAAUCGUACCCCAAACCGACACAGGUGGUCAGGUAGAGAAUACCAAGGCGCUUGAGAGAACUCGGGUGAAGGAACUAGGCAAAAUGGUGCCGUAACUUCGGGAGAAGGCACGCUGGUGUGUAGGUGAAGCCCCUGCGGGUGGAGCUGAGACCAGUCGAAGAUACCAGCUGGCUGCAACUGUUUAUUAAAAACACAGCACUGUGCAAACACGAAAGUGGACGUAUACGGUGUGACGCCUGCCCGGUGCCGGAAGGUUAAUUGAUGGGGUUAUCCGUAAGGAGAAGCUCUUGAUCGAAGCCCCGGUAAACGGCGGCCGUAACUAUAACGGUCCUAAGGUAGCGAAAUUCCUUGUCGGGUAAGUUCCGACCUGCACGAAUGGCGUAAUGAUGGCCAGGCUGUCUCCACCCGAGACUCAGUGAAAUUGAACUCGCUGUGAAGAUGCAGUGUACCCGCGGCAAGACGGAAAGACCCCGUGAACCUUUACUAUAGCUUGACACUGAACAUUGAGCCUUGAUGUGUAGGAUAGGUGGGAGGCUUUGAAGCGUGGACGCCAGUCUGCGUGGAGCCAACCUUGAAAUACCACCCUUUAAUGUUUGAUGUUCUAACGUUGGCCCCUUACCGGGGUUGCGGACAGUGUCUGGUGGGUAGUUUGACUGGGGCGGUCUCCUCCCAAAGCGUAACGGAGGAGCACGAAGGUUAGCUAAUCCUGGUCGGACAUCAGGAGGUUAGUGCAAUGGCAUAAGCUAGCUUGACUGCGAGCGUGACGGCGCGAGCAGGUGCGAAAGCAGGUCAUAGUGAUCCGGUGGUUCUGAAUGGAAGGGCCAUCGCUCAACGGAUAAAAGGUACUCCGGGGAUAACAGGCUGAUACCGCCCAAGAGUUCAUAUCGACGGCGGUGUUUGGCACCUCGAUGUCGGCUCAUCACAUCCUGGGGCUGAAGUAGGUCCCAAGGGUAUGGCUGUUCGCCAUUUAAAGUGGUACGCGAGCUGGGUUUAGAACGUCGUGAGACAGUUCGGUCCCUAUCUGCCGUGGGCGCUGGAGAAUUGAGGGGGCUGCUCCUAGUACGAGAGGACCGGAGUGGACGCAUCACUGGUGUUCGGGUUGUCAUGCCAAUGGCACUGCCCGGUAGCUAAAUGCGGAAGAGAUAAGUGCUGAAAGCAUCUAAGCACGAAACUUGCCCCGAGAUGAGUUCUCCCUGAGACUUUAAGUCUCCUGAAGGAACGUUGAAGACGACGACGUUGAUAGGCCGGGUGUGUAAGCGCAGCGAUGCGUUGAGCUAACCGGUACUAAUGAACCGUGAGGCUUAACCUUACAACGCCGAAG
rnacentral:rRNA from 1 species